CGGGUGAGUAAUGCGUGACCAACCUGCCCCAUGCUCCAGAAUAGCUCUUGGAAACGGGUGGUAAUGCUGGAUGCUCCAACUUGACGCAUGUCUUGUUGGGAAAGUGUUUAGUGGCAUGGGAUGGGGUCGCGUCCUAUCAGCUUGUAGGCGGGGUAAUGGCCCACCUAGGCUUCGACGGGUAGCCGGCCUGACAGGGCGGACGGCCACAUUGGGACUGAGAUACGGCCCAGACUCCUACGGGAGGCAGCAGUC
rnacentral:rRNA from 1 species